rnacentral:rRNA from 1 species
GAUGAACGCUGGCGGCGUGCCUAAUACAUGCAAGUCGAGCGAACGGACGAGAAGCUUGCUUCUCUGAUGUUAGCGGCGGACGGGUGAGUAACACGUGGAUAACCUACCUAUAAGACUGGGAUAACUUCGGGAAACCGGAGCUAAUACCGGAUAAUAUUUUGAACCGCAUGGUUCAAAAGUGAAAGACGGUCUUGCUGUCACUUAUAGAUGGAUCCGCGCUGCAUUAGCUAGUUGGUAAGGUAACGGCUUACCAAGGCAACGAUGCAUAGCCGACCUGAGAGGGUGAUCGGCCACACUGGAACUGAGACACGGUCCAGACUCCUACGGGAGGCAGCAGUAGGGAAUCUUCCGCAAUGGGCGAAAGCCUGACGGAGCAACGCCGCGUGAGUGAUGAAGGUCUUCGGAUCGUAAAACUCUGUUAUUAGGGAAGAACAUAUGUGUAAGUAACUGUGCACAUCUUGACGGUACCUAAUCAGAAAGCCACGGCUAACUACGUGCCAGCAGCCGCGGUAAUACGUAGGUGGCAAGCGUUAUCCGGAAUUAUUGGGCGUAAAGCGCGCGUAGGCGGUUUUUUAAGUCUGAUGUGAAAGCCCACGGCUCAACCGUGGAGGGUCAUUGGAAACUGGAAAACUUGAGUGCAGAAGAGGAAAGUGGAAUUCCCAUGUGUAGCGGUGAAAUGCGCAGAGAUAUGGAGGAACACCAGUGGCGAAAGCGACUUUCUGGUCUGUAACUGACGCUGAUGUGCGAAAGCGUGGGGAUCAAACAGGAUUAGAUACCCUGGUAGUCCACGCCGUAAACGAUGAGUGCUAAGUGUUAGGGGGUUUCCGCCCCUUAGUGCUGCAGCUAACGCAUUAAGCACUCCGCCUGGGGAGUACGACCGCAAGGUUGAAACUCAAAGGAAUUGACGGGGACCCGCACAAGCGGUGGAGCAUGUGGUUUAAUUCGAAGCAACGCGAAGAACCUUACCAAAUCUUGACAUCCUUUGACAACUCUAGAGAUAGAGCUUUCCCCUUCGGGGGACAAAGUGACAGGUGGUGCAUGGUUGUCGUCAGCUCGUGUCGUGAGAUGUUGGGUUAAGUCCCGCAACGAGCGCAACCCUUAAGCUUAGUUGCCAUCAUUAAGUUGGGCACUCUAAGUUGACUGCCGGUGACAAACCGGAGGAAGGUGGGGAUGACGUCAAAUCAUCAUGCCCCUUAUGAUUUGGGCUACACACGUGCUACAAUGGACAAUACAAAGGGCAGCGAAACCGCGAGGUCAAGCAAAUCCCAUAAAGUUGUUCUCAGUUCGGAUUGUAGUCUGCAACUCGACUACAUGAAGCUGGAAUCGCUAGUAAUCGUAGAUCAGCAUGCUACGGUGAAUACGUUCCCGGGUCU